CUUCUAUACAACAUAUAUAGUUGAUCCAUUACUUAUAGUUUAAGAAAAAUAGACCAAAACACAAAAACUUAACACUGUGCAAUGAACCGUGAAAAUGAGGUCACGGUCAAAUAAAACCUGCGCGACUGACAUAAAGAUCAUAAAAUAUUUCCAUACACCAAAUAUAGUUGACCUAUGGCAUAUAGUAUUAGAUAAAAAGACCAAAACUCAAAAACUUAACUUUGACCACUGAUCCAUGAAAAUGAGGUCAAGGUCACAUGACAUCUGCCCGCUAGACAUGUAUAGCUUACAAUCAUUCCAUACAACAAAUAUAGUAGACCUAUUGCAUAUAGUAUGAGAAAAAC
rnacentral:lncRNA from 1 species